GUGGGGAAUAUUGCACAAUGGGGGAAACCCUGAUGCAGCGACGCCGCGUGAGCGAAGAAGUAUUUCGGUAUGUAAAGCUCUAUCAGCAGGGAAGAAAAUGACGGUACCUGACUAAGAAGCCCCGGCUAACUACGUGCCAGCAGCCGCGGUAAUACGUAGGGGGCAAGCGUUAUCCGGAUUUACUGGGUGUAAAGGGAGCGUAGACGGAGCAGCAAGUCUGAUGUGAAAACCCGGGGCUCAACCCCGGGACUGCAUUGGAAACUGUUGAUCUGGAGUGCCGGAGAGGUAAGCGGAAUUCCUAGUGUAGCGGUGAAAUGCGUAGAUAUUAGGAGGAACACCAGUGGCGAAGGCGGCUUACUGGACGGUAACUGACGUUGAGGCUCGAAAGCGUGGGGAGCAAACAGGAUUAGAAACCCUAGUAGUCC
rnacentral:rRNA from 1 species